rnacentral:tRNA from 1 species
GAGGGUAUAGCUCACUGGUAGAGUGCAUGCUUAGUAUGCAGGAGGUCCCAGGUUCAAUUCCCGGUACCUCUG